UGCGCAUGUCUGUGCACGUAAGGUGUGUUUCAGCCUGUUAAGCACUGGUGCAACUCCCUGUGCACAGACAGUACGCGUCAUCAACCUGCUUAGGUAAGGUGCGUCUGAGUGUUGAGCGUUUUACACUGUGAAAUAUUUUCUCUGUGCCGGACCACGCCUCCGUUUUACACUGACACGCCCACAUGAGCAUAAAUGGACAUGUGAUUCAGGCGGUGUAGAAACCAUCGCUGCGUCAGCUAGAGAGUAGCAUUAACACUUUGUAUCACAGAGAGAGAAUUUCAUAUUUAAUCCAAUGUAUUUAUAAUUACCAUUACAAUUCUUUGCUAUAGAGUGUUUAUUACUGGCCAGAAAAAGAAAUUAUGUGCACAGUUUGCAGUUUUCACCAACUUCCUCAGCUGUUUGAUUUGAUAUAUUGAAUUAUAUUUUUGCAAUAAUGAGCAAAUAUUGCUGCAGUUUUCAGGAGGAUGUAAAAUUAGUCAAUAUAAGUCACUUUUCUGCAGCAGGAUGUGCCAGCACUCAAAAUUAUGGCGGUAUGAACAUUCAGCUGGUGUCAGCUGGAGCAGAUGAACCUGAAAUAUUGGAGCUGAUCAUUUACACAGUGGAAUUCGGCGCAGUGCGAAUUGAGCCUGCAAGGGGACAUUUAUUUGUGUGACACCUCAGGAAAUAAAACUCCAGUGCGUCACUCACUCCCAACCCCCCCCCCCCCCCCCCCCCCCCCUCCUGUUUUAGGAGGACACUGCAGCACUAAAGCUCCCGGCGACACAAAUUCUUCAGCGUUUAGCCUUCACCCUGUAGCACUUAUACACAGGGCACAGAAGAGCAUGAUGUUCUUCCUUCCUGCGCUCACUCGCCUCUCCUGCCUCCUCCAGCAGGAGAUUUAUUCUCUGCGCGCGGAGAGUUUUUGUGAGCCGUGCCUUCAGUGGAUUUACAGCCAUGAAAUAUGCACACAGAGUCCUGCUGUGGUCAGCCUCACAGUGAUCAGUCAUUAGACCGCUCCCGCGUUGUUUCUCUUCCCCUUCUGCCUGAAAGCAGAAAGCAGCAUUUGAACGUAAUUUAGCGUUUUAUCGCCAAUCAUUUGCAGGAGCUUCAUUUGCAUGAUUAAUUUGUCGUUUUGAAACAUUGGCAUGCUGAUAUUUAAAGUCGUAAUGUUUAUUUUUGUUUUGGGUUUUGUUGCAUGCUGUUCAAAUUAUGCAGAAAAAUAA